rnacentral:ncRNA from 1 species
CUGGUUCAUCCUGCCAGUAGUCACAUGCUUGUCUCAAAUAUUAAGCCAUGAACGUGUAAGUAUGAACUAAUUCAGAUUGUGAAAUUACGAAUGGCUCAUUAAAUCAGUUAUAGUUUGUUUAAUGGUAUUUGCUAUUCGGAUAACCAUAAUAAUUCUGGAGCUAAUACGUGCAACCAACCCCGACUUUUGGAAGGGAUGCAUUUAUUAGAUAAAAGGUCGACGCGGGCUCUACCCAUUGCUUUGAUGAUUCAUGACAACUCGACGUAUCGCCCAGCCAUCAUGCCGGCGAUGCAUCAUUCAAAUUUCUGCCCUAUCAACUUUCGAUGGUAGGAUAAUGGCCUACCAUGGUUGUGACGGGUGACAUAGAAUUAGAGUUUGAUUCCGGAGAGGGAGCCUGAGAAACGGCUACCACAUCCAAGGAAGUCAGUAGGCGCAAAUUACCCAAUCCUGACACGAGGAGGUAAUGACAAUAAAUAACAAUAUCGGGCUCUACACAGAUCUUUAAAGACAGAGAUUUGAACCUCAACAGAGAUGGAUAGAGAUGAUUAAGGACUAUAAUUAUGCCUAUGAAUACUUCAGGGAAAUGCAAGCAUGGUU